GUGUGCAGAGCUGGUCGUGCCUCACGGUGUAAGAAUAUUCAGGUUUCCAGUUAAGUGCAGAUCAGUGUUUGUAGCAGAGAAAAGUCACAACUGUUAACAAUAAAGUGUGAGAAAAUUUAAUCGCAUCUUUUCCAGGACUGGACUUUUUCCACAUAACGAGUCAGCAAUAUAUAUGUAUGUCUUCGACAGAUGAUGUGUACUCUUUCUAUUUCAAGGCGUAACACACUUCCGCCUUCAGACUAUUGGGAAAAAGUUAUGGUCAGAAGUGUACCGCACGGAUUAAACAGAACGCAUCUUUAAGGAACAACAGCUGCCGUUUUCUCUGGUGAAACCAUCUGACGAUCAGUACAGGUCAGAGAUAUUAAUCAUAAGGUAUUCAUCAUCUUGAAUACAAUAGAAAAUUCAGACUGCUUACAUAGACAGGAAAAACUAGCUAUACCUUGACAGAAACUUCACAUCUUACUCUUUCAUUACGUAACAACGAAUCAAAGUUUUCAUUUAACUGUGAACGGCUGAUUAGGAAGGAAACUUAAAAGGAGAUAAUUCUGGUUACAGCGUUGUCUUCUGGUUUUUUAAUUCGCACAUGUGUUACGUAUGGUACUAAAAACUGUUCAGUUUUAGUAAGGAGACAUCGAUUCGCCUCAAGACCCUUGUCCAUCUGUAUGCAUGCCUAUGCAUUCUUGUGUCCGUACCUGGAUGGACCCCAGGGAAUCUAUCGGCAGAAGAGAUUACGAGUGCGAGCACAGUUUCAUCGACGACGUUCCUCUGCCCUUACCGCCCCCGGAAGAAUGCGACGACCCUUACGAUCAUCCAGUUUUCACGCGUCCUCACCACAAGAAGAAAAAAGCGGUGCCUGGAUGGGAUUGAGUUCCAUUGCCAUCACACUCAUAGCUGUGUUUAUCGUCGGUUUUAUCGUCUUAUCCCCUUUAUUUCAUUACUUGAUGUAGGCAGGUCCUUCGCUAGAAUAUAUGGAACAUGUAGUUGUUUGUCGAGUUUAUCAAAGCAUUAUCUCUGACUGGACAUAUUAGCACUUAUAGAAAUGUUUUAUUCAGUUUUCUGCACAAGUAAGCGGAGUUACUGUUGAUUAUGUAUGUUUAUUUCAACACAAAAGCUUAUGCCUUCUAUUAUAGUUGAAAUAAAUAAAUAUCAUCAUCGGGAAAGCGCAUCUUAUUACUCAGGCUGCCUAAAGAGGAAGAUCAGUUGUCAUCUAGAAGCCUAUUUUACCUUCAAUCUUUACAAACGAAAACAACAAACAAAGAGAAUUCCGUCAAGGAUAUGAAGACUUAUAUGAUGGGAUAUGUUACUACAAUGAUGUCUUUACGUUACGGAAAACUUGCUAAAAGAACCUGUAUCUCUAAGACGACCCACCCACUAUUUCUACAAGUACGAAGACUGUUGACCUGAGAGGUUCAUCCGUUUACUCCUGAGUGUCCGAUGUUGACAAUGACGUGAAUAAUUCAGGAUAUUUUACCAGUCACAUAUAAGAGUUCUCAAACUGAAGAUUGGAUCCCUUGUCGUUCAUUGGCUUUCAGUAUGAAGAUUGUUGAAGUAAGAGACUCAUCCGCUUUCACCUAAAUUCCCCAGGCUGCCACUAACCUGAAUAAUUCAGAUUCCACUUUCAGUUAGAUAUGCGUUAAUGUUGCGCUUAUUUUAUAAACAGGUGCUAAUUAUAAGCUCUGUUACAUUUCAUCGAUUUUUUUGUUUGCACCUAUUUAUUAUAAUCCCGAGAAAAGUACGUCUUGAUAAAUGAAAUGAACUACAGUAACGAAACGUCGUCAGGUGACUCUGCGUAACGUUAUCAAACAUUAUCACUCUCACAUGCUACAGUACCACAAAAGCAGCAGCAUAGGGUUUCAAAGUAGUAUUUUUUCAAUAUUGUGUGAGUGUGAAUAAUUGCACAUCUUAAGUAACCAGAUAUAUCAAUUUCAAUAAGCCGGAUGCCCAUAAAGAUGUUUUACAGUAAUUAAACAUUAUUAUAAUCUAAAACCCAUGUGAAGCUAUAUAAACUGAGUAUUCAGAACAUGGUACACUAUUAAUAGUUAAUGCAUUCAGUAACGAAACAAACAUGAAAUGAGAUUCUAUUUACACACUUCAACGUGUUGUUACAACUAGCUCUGUUUACACACUUCUAAUCCUUGUUACAACUAGCUCUGUUUACACACUUCUAAUCCUUGUUACAACUGGUUCUGUUAACAAAUCUAUGUAUUGAUAGUACUGGCUUCAUUAACAUAUCUAUGUAUUUAUACUACUGUCUCUAAUAACAAAUCACCAUGUGAUGUUACAAUUGGAUCUAUUAAUAAACCUGUGAUGUUAUUACUGCCUCUAUUAACAUAUCUUUGUGUUGUUACUACUGACACUAAUAACAAAACUCCACAUUUUGUUACAACUGGCCCUAUUAACAAAUAUCUGUGCUGUUACAACUGGCCCUAUUAACAAAUCUCUGUGUUGUUAAAAAUGGUUCUACUAAUAAAUCCUGUGUUGUUACUACUGGCUCCAUAAACAAAUUUAUGUGUUGUUACUACUGGCUCCAUUAACAAAUUUAUGUGUUGUUACUACUGGAUCUAUUAAUACAUCUCUGUGUUGUUACUACUGACACUAAUAACACAACUCCAUGUUAUGUUACAGUUGGAUAUAUCAACAAAACUCCACAUUUUGUUACAACUGGCCCUAUUAACAAAUAUCUGUCUGUUACAACUGGCCCUAUUAACAAAUCUCUGUGUUGUUAAAAAUGGUUCUACUAAUAAAUCCUGUGUUGUUACUACUGGUUCCAUUAACAAAUCUGUACUGGUACAACUGGAUUUAUUAACAAAUCUAUGGGUUGUUACUAUUGGAUCUAUUAAUAAAUUUCUGUGUUGUUACUACUGGCUCCAUUAACAAAUCUAUGUGUCGUUACUACUGGAUCUAUUAAAACAUCUCGGUGUUGUUACUACUGACACUAAUAACAAAGCUCCAUUUUAUGUUACAGUUGGAUAUAUCGACAAAACUACACAUUUUGUUACAACUGGUUCUGUUAACAAAACUCCACAUUUUGUUACAACUGGUUCUGUUGUUACUACUGACACUAAUAACAAAGCUCCAUUUUAUGUUACAGUUGGAUAUAUCGACAAAACUACACAUUUUGUUACAACUGGUUCUGUUAACAAAACUCCACAUUUUGUUACAACUGGUUCUGUUAACAAAACUCCAUUUAUUGUUAGAAAUAGUUUUAUUUAUUAAAGGCAAAGGGGUUGUUACAAACUAAUUAUACAGAAAGAAAAUGUACAGACAGUAGUUUCUCUAUUUAAACCUCAAACUACAUUUGAAAGGUAUUUUUGGAUUUCAGCUAUUUUCACUCAUUAGUAAUCAAUAAUGUAAUAAUGUAAUCAAUAAGUUAACUCAAAUAUGGCACUGCCACUCCUGAUGUUUAUGCAUAAAUUUCUUUCUACUAGUGUAUGUUCCCUUUACGUAAAGGAUUCGUAACACGUAACGGUUUCUUUUAAGGUGGCUGAAAAAAUGGCUGAACAUUCCUGUAAUGACUUAAUAAUAAGAAAUAAGAAGAAAGGUUCUCAUUUGCAGAUUUUUAAUAUGGUCUUUUUUUUAUUUUUAAUGACUAUAAUUAUAAGGUUCAGUUGUAUCGUCUAAUGAGAAAAUACUGCUGUAGAGAAAAGAAAUUUAAGUUCAUAACUUUUUAAUUUCUUCAGUAUUAAGCUUCACAUAUUAUCCAAAAUGAAAAGCAACUAACUUUAUUAUUUUGUUAGUCACAUCAAAUGAACGUCUACAUUACCUUCAUUCAUCUGCUCAGAGAAGCCUGUGUACUGACGAAACAGUUAAUCUAUAUUGUAAUUGAAAUAGUUCCUCUAUGUUAUGCUAAACUAGCUACUUUGUAUUCUACUGAAAUACUUAGGCUAUAUUCUAAUGAUAUAAUUACUAUAUAUAUUCUGAUUGAAUAUUUUUCUGUACAUUUUCAUGGAAUAUUUAUUUUAUAUUCUGAUAAAAUAGAUGCCCUAUAUUCCAAUAGAAUAGAUACGCUAUAUUCUGAUGAAUGUUUAUGGAAUAUUUAUCUUAUAUUCUGAUAAAACAGUCACUAAUAUGCUGAUGAAAUAGUUACUCCAUAUUCUGAUAUCAGAAACGCAGCAACUGUAAACGGAACACAUGGCUGUUCAAACAAUGGAAUACUUAAUUAAAUUGGCUGACGUUAGAUUUGCGUAUGUAUUGAUUUAUAGUUCUGUGAUAAGUUCGUUUCAGACUACGUUCGUGUCGUUUUCCACAGUAGAGUGCUAUACCGUUUUAAGCUCCAAUCAUUUGUUAUUUUACACUCUGUUAACAAUAACGUUGAUUAUUUCCACCGUUUAUUGCCAGCGAUGGUAUGUCAGUACUUCUUACCAAGGAAGGCACUGUUAUAUGUUAUCUAGAGUAAAGAAAAUCUUCUUAGAAAAUUUUAAGUGGACUAUUUUAAUAACUUAAACUUACAUAAAUAACAUAACUUGUCUGCGAAUAAAAUAUCGAAUUUAAACCAAUAAGAUCAUAAACUUAAUGUAUUUUGUCUGUGGUUGUGAAACCCUAAAAACCAUUUUCUAUAAGGUAAAAUACAAAGAUGUGCAAUUCUUGACAUCUGUGAUAUAUUUUACGACGAUGUUGUUAUUUGAGUCAAUAAAUCAUUUGAGCUCCGUGUGAGGUAAACACAAUAUUGUUUGUGUCAAUAUGAAUCAAAGCAUCCUAGCUCCGUUUCCUCUUCUUAUAAAGUAAAUUUAUUUGUUAUGAAUUGUUUUUACUUUUUAAAUAAUAGGAAACUUAAAAUCUAAGGAGAUUAAUCACUGUUUAGAAAGUGCUUGAAAUUCCUAUCAGUUUUUAUUCUUCAUGUUCUAACGCUCUUAUAUUAAAGUUCGUAUAUUUUUGUUGCUGGAAAUUAAUUAUUUUUUUAUUAGUCUUCCUUAGGCAAGUAAAAUUGUCAUAGACAAAACAUAAUUGACGAAUAACAGAAUUCUGCCUUAUUUACGUAGAGUCACUGAGCAGAUUUCGCCUUUAGAUUUAAUAAAAUCUGUUUAAAUGCAAGUAUGUCACUGAAGAUGUUUUUAAUAAAGUUGUUUACGUAGAUAUUCAGAAUGAUUUAAAAGUCCGUUGAUUGGCAAAUACUCCAGUAAUGAAGAAGUGUAGAAAUAUAAAUGUUAAUAGUACAGAAUGAGAUGUUGUCCUAACCUACGGCAAUAUCAUUAAGUUCGUUCAAAGUUGUCUUUAAGAUCGCGCCCUUUGAAACAACUGUAAGUCUGCGGGCUUUUAACGCUUAAAAACGGAUUUCGAUACUGGCGAUGGAAAAAGCGUAGAUAGUUCAUUGUGUAGCUUUGUGUUUAAUAACAAAAAACUUAGUAUCAAUAUACACCAUGCACACAAAAAUUAAUGAAACAUUUUAAGCCAAAAAUUAACAAUUAUAGGCGUAAAUGUACCCAUUUGAUCCAUAUUCAGAUGCAAAGUCAAAAGUUUCAUAAGCAGGAUGUUACAGCUUUGAAUAUCUCAAAAGAUAACAAGUGUUAAAGUACAAGACCCUUGUAUAAGGUAAGCGCAUAAGCAUUGUGCUGUACUUGCUCUCAGGUCAUCUAAACAAUGGCACAACAUUCAGUUGAAUAACAGUUUAACAUGACCCUAUUGUAUGAAGAGUAUCACCAAAUUAUAUGCCAAAUGGUUCCAAAAUGAACGUCAUCCAUCGCAUCGAAUGAUAAGAAUUGUUAUUAGCUGCUGCGUACUAUACGUUCAUUUACACAUAGAUGUGAGCAGACUAAGAACAGCAAUUAAUAGUAACGACGACGACGCCUUACUGGAAUAUAUCACAUUUGAGCAGCACUUUGAACAUACCUAUUGACUCUUUGCCACCAUUUCGUAAUACAUUUCUAAUUGCUGUUGCUAUGAAACGAUUUUUUUUUUUACUUUUUGCUUAAAUGUUUCAUUUACUAUUGUCUACACCUUUGAAAUUCAAACUUGGUAGUGUGUAAUACAUAUUAAUAAACGUUUAGAAGUUCAAGACCUUAAAAUUAACCUUAAAUUACCUCAUUAAUAUUGUCACAAAGUAGCCCACAACAUCUCGUUCCACUACACUGAUAAUUAUCUCUGUAUACCUCCCCAUUUGUAAAUUAUUUCCUGUCAAUAGAUUUGUGAAAUCACCAGUAAAAUAACUUUGAAUGUUAACUGGGAAGUUGUAGAAAGUUUACAGUGAAAGUUUUCUAAAUAGCUUAAAACAAUUAUUCUGUUUCUAAUAAGAAAGAUAAUUUACCUAACCAGUUUUUAUUCACUAGAAAUUUUGUUUUUCAUUUAGAUAGUUUGAUACUGUAAUCGGAAUACCCUUAGAUGUAUAAAUGUGUAUAUUAAGUAAGAAACAAAAUAGUAAACUAGUGGUUAAAAAUAAUCAGUUGUGUGAAACACUCAUUACUAAACCCGUUGAUACCACCAAGAUAUUAGAAUACUGUAACCAUUUAAUUGUAUUGCUUUAUUUCAAAGCAUCUCAUAUAAAAACAAAAAGAAACAGAAGGACUGUUAAAGUCCAUAAAUAUAUAAUAGUACGUUAUUAUUCUAGCUGAAAGCACCAUACGUAAAAGUCCAUAGAACAGAAAUAAGACUGUUUCUAUAAUGGGUAUUACUUUGUCGUAUCUUGUUUUCUUGUUGUUGUUUUUAAAUCCAAGUACGUUCAAGAGGUAAUAAACAAAAACUUCAUUUUAUUCUCAUAACUUCACAGAAACUUAAACUCUCUAAACAGAAAAGUGAGUUUAAAAGUAUAUGUUUGAUGUUUGAGUAAAGAUUGUCUCUGUUUUAAUACUGAUAAGAUAAGUAAGUAAUCAAAUCAGUGUAGUAUGAAUUCAAAUUUGGAAUGUAUUUUUUUUCCUGAAAUACGUUAA